CUGCCCUUGCCCUUGCUUUGGGCCCCUGUAAGCAGGUGGUAUUUGAGGGGCUCCUCAUUUGUAAUGCCCAAUAAAGGAUAAAGAGAAUGUGGCUCUGCCUUAGUGCUCACAGGCCCUGCUGGGCAGUGGAGGAGUGGAAUAGCUCCUGGGGCCACCUGAUUUCAUUGUUAGAAGCGAAGUGCCCUGGGAGAGCCAGGUCUGGAGAGUCCCCAUGGCUGGAAGGGGCUAAGGGACCAAAGAGAGGCUGAAAUUUACUGCUACACUGGAGAACAUGGAGAGAAUGAGGGCAGGCAGGACAUGGUUGGAGGGAGAGAGCCAGGAGAAGGCCAGCCUGCACUGGAGUGGUGGUAGCCCUGGCAGGAGGCCUUGUGUAGUGGGUGGCAGAACAGAGCUUUGCCAAAAGUGAAAUUGGGUGUACAUUUGUAUAGCCCAGAAAUGGUAGGACUGCAUUUUUUCUUGUGUAAUAUGAUCAAUGUUUAUUAUUUUUUUUAUUAUUUUUUUUUCUCAUUAAACUUUUGUUUUAAUGGGUCUCAAAAUUCUGUGACAGAUUUUUGGUCAAGUUGUUUCCAUUAAAAAGUACUGAUUUUAAAAACUAAUAACUUAAAACUGCCACACACGCACAAAAAAAAAAAAGCAAAAAAAAAAAACCAAAAAAAAACAAAAGGUCCACAAAACAUUCUCCUUUCCUUCUGAAGGUUUUACGAUGCAUUGUUAUCAUUAACCAGUCUUUUAUUAUUAAACUUAAAUGGCCAAUUGACACAAACAGUUCUGAGACCGUUCUUCCACCACUGAUUAAGACUGGGGUGGCAGGUAUUGGGGAUAAUAUUCAUUUAGCCUUCUGAGCUUUCUGGAGAUACCUGCUUCAAAUUCACCAACACCAGCAGCAACAAUCAGGACAGCACAGUCAGCCUGAGAUGUGCCUGUAAUCAUGUUUUUGAUAAAGUCUCUGUGUCCUGGGGCAUCAAUGAUGGUCACAUAAUACUUGCUGGUCUCGAAUUUCCACAGGGAGAUAUCAAUGGUGAUACCACGUUCACGUUCAGCUUUCAGUUUAUCCAAGACCCAGGCAUACUUGAAGGAGCCUUUUCCCAUCUCAGCAGCCUCCUUCUCAAAUUUUUCGAUAGUUCUUUUGUCGAUCCCACCACAUUUGUAGAUCAGAUGGCCAGUAGUGGUAGACUUGCCCGAAUCUACGUGUCCAAUGACGACGAUGUUGAUGUGAGUCUUCUCCUUUCCCAUUUUGGUUUAGGUUUAGCGGUGGUUUUCACGACACCUGUGUUCUGGCGGCAAACCCGUUGCGAAAAAGAUCAAUGUUUAUUAUUACAAGAACUUUAUCUUCAACAUUAGUAAAAGGAGAACAAACAUUUGAUUGAUAGGAAGCCAGCUCACAUUCUCUCAGUCCAGGUCGCAUUGUUCCAAAGCCUGACCCCAGUGAGCAUGUCAAGGGGGUGUCUGGGUGUCUGGUACCCUAUAGACUCCAUCAACUAUUAUCAUCCCCCCAAAAUCAAUGCAAACUAAUACUAUUGUUGUGUCUGUCAACUUAGAAAUGAAAACAGUAUUACUCAAGGAUAGUGAGAGAUUUUUGUGAAAAUGCAUAUUCAGGGACACUCACUGCAGCAUUAUCUAUAGUAGCAAAAGCUGAAAACAAGCUAGGUAUUCAAACAGGAGAACAGGUCAACAUACAAUCUUAUAGUGAAGUUUUUAGAAAUGUGUUUCAAAGAAUAUUGAAUGACAUGGAAAAUGUUCAAAAUAGAUGGUAAAUCAAAAAACAAUAACAUAAAUCCAUGUGUUCACUGUGUUUCCCAUAAUAUAAAAUGUGUGUGAAUGUUUAUAUAUGUAUAUUUAUGCAUAAAAACUCUUUAGGGAAAUAUAAAAAUACUAGUGAUUAAUGCCAGAGAGUAUGGGGUUAAUGAUGAUUUUCAUUUCUAAUUUUUUACUUGUCUAUAUUCCUAAAUUCUCUACACUGAGAAUAGAAAUAUCAGAGUACAUCACCUAUGAAUGCUGUUUAUUCUGAGACAACUAUAGAUUAACAGGAAAUUGCAAAGAAAUUCACAGGAAGUUCCCAUGCACCUCUCUUUCAGCUUCCUUCAAGGUUAACAUCUUACACAAUUGCAGUACUAUCAAAAUCAGAACAUUGACAUUGGUAUAAUCUAUACAGCUUCCUUGGAUUUCACUUGUUUUGCACACAUUCACUUGUCUGGAUGUGUAUAUAUCUGUGUGAUUCUACUACAUGCGUAGCCUCAUGUAUUCAUCACCACAAUCAAGGUGUGGAACUAUAGCAUCACCAUAAGCUUCUUGUGCUGUCCCCUUCUAGCCACACUCACCUGCAUUACUCUCCAGGUCCUGUCCACCACCAAUCCAUUCUCCACGAAAUCUACUUUUUACUUGUGUAUGUAGGGUUGGACACAUAUUUGUCAGGACAUAAAAUAUGUUUAUGUUGGCUACAGUCAGAAAAAUUGAAAACUUCACUGUAUGCUACAGAAAGAUUAUAGACGGGGGUAGGGGGCAUAGAAUCAUCAUACGUAUUUUAGAGGUCAUCUUGACAAGAUGUGGACGAUGAAUUGAAAAGAAGAGUGAAGUAGGGGUAGGGAGGCCAGCUCUCGGCCCACACCUAUGAUGAGUUACUGAGUAAUAAUAAAGACCAACUUCUCUUCAUUUGCUCAUUCAUUCCUUAUUUCCUUUUUCCCUUCCUUCCUUAGAUCAUUAAAUAUGAUCUAUUAUAAUAUGACAUUUCUGUUAUAUAAUUUAUUACAUAUAAUAUAUGAAAUAUCAAAAUAUUGUUGUAUAAUGACAACUGUAUACCCACUAGUUAAUUAGGAUGGUGAUAUGGUUAAUUAUUUUCUGUAAUAAUUAAUUACUUAUUUUCAAUUACUUAUUUUUCACAAUAAUGAACUGCAUUCAUAUUAGCUAUAAUAAUGUUAUAGUUCUGUUCAUUGUUUUUUUUUUAAAGAUUUUAUUUAUUUAUUCAUGAGAGACACAGAGAGAGAGAGAGAGAGGCAGAGACACAGGCAGAGGGAGAAGCAGACUUCAUGCAGGAAGCCUGACAUAGGACUCAAUCCCGGGUGUCUAGGAUCAGGCGCUGGGCUGAAGGCGGCACUAAACCGCGGAGCCAGCCGGGCUGCCCAGUUCUGUUCAUUGUUACUUGUGUUUUAUUUUCUUUACUAUUAAGUUAUUCUACACUGUGAAUUUUAAAAUUCAAAAUAUUGAGGUUGGUUGAUUUAACUUGCUAUCAGUAAAGCUUGUCAUCAAAAAAGGGCAACAAGCAAUCUAAACAAAAGACAUUGUUAAUGAGAAAAUUAGGAAUGAGCCAUUUCAUAGAAAGCAGUGAAUUUUGGUUCUGGUUUAUUAUAUGUUUACUAUUAGCUCUCUUUGCACUUUUCAUUGGUGGAGGUAAGUGGACAUAUGGAAUGUAUAAAGGGAAUUUCAAAAGUACUUUGUAGGUGAUGAUAUGACUAUAUCAUACUUAUACUCCAGACUGACAUUUUUUGUUUGUUUGUUUAUUUGUGGAGUCCAUGAUGGGUGAAGCCACAUUUGGAGGACAAAGACAAAUAUGAGCCAAAUGGACAGGCCCACUAAUUAGGUGGUAUGCAGAAAUCUAAAAAUAAAAUGCUCAGGACUCAGAUUUAGUGAAUAUACAGAGGUGUUAGUUGAGACACUAAGGAAAAGGAUGUUGGCAAACUUGGGAAACCAAGGUAAUCUUUGCCAGAAAGGCAGGUCGAAAAUAUUCCUCAAGAUUCAGUGGUCAGUGUCAAAAUCAUAGGUCACAUUUUUAUUAUAAGUAUCAAAUCUACUAUAUAAAUACUGGCUUUUGUUACUACCAUCAAAAUGCUGUUGAAUUUAUAAGUACUUCUGCUUCUUUUUUUUUUUAAUUUAAAUGAGCCAAGGCAAAUCAGAGUAGGGUAGGGGGUGAUAGUACUAGAAAGGCAUUUGCUUCCUUUCCUUUUAUCAAAAUGGCUUGUGAACUAUAUUGUGCACUAGCUACAUAGCCACAUUCCAAUUCUGUUUCACGUCCAGCACUAUUUCAACUAAUUCUUAAGCCUCUACCGACUAUUCAUUUGGUAGAUCCCUGCUCUUCAUGGGAACUCUUUGAUGUUUCUAAAGUUUAUUGUCUAUAAAAAUAUAUUUUUCUUUGCCUUCUUGCAUUUUGACUCUGAAUCCAUGGUGAAAUUUUAAGCAUUUAUCUCUUUUCUCAUUAAACAAUGACCUGGUCAGAGUGCCAAGAUUUGUCUUAAUGACGAAACCUUGCUCAGCCCUAAAAUUUUUGGAGACGUGCGACUCUGACUUCCUCACAGUCUGCUGGAUGGUCUCAGGAGCCUAUUCCUCCUUUGGCAGGAAAUGGAAAGAAGGUCAUCCAGGAGAUCUUCCUGCAUUCUGGUCUGGGAUUCUCUUUAAGUGUGGAACUGAAAAAAAAAAUCAGGGUGUCUUGUUUCUAUAUAGACAAUGCCUUGUUUUUACAGACUGAGCAGCAUUAUUCUCCUUUUCUUUCCAAGGUAUUGAGUAAUCAUUUAAACAUAUUAGUUAAUAGAAAAUGAUUGGUCAGGGAGCUGGAUCUUUUUGGCAGUCUCUAUAGCUGUCCUCUCCAAAUUCUGCAGCUAUGAUAAAUUGGAAUUCUUUCAUUUGUCCAGAGGAACUGGAGACUAUGAUUCUGCCAUAGGUGAGUGAUGCCUUAUCAGAGCCCUAACUUCCCAUGUGGUCAGGAAAGGAAGAGAGGCAAACAGAGGGCUGGCAAUUAUCCUGUUUCUGGGAACUGAGUUGCCAGUUUUUUGAAAAUAUUGGAGUAAAAACACUAGUGCAAAACAAUAUAUACAGGAAAACUAAUGGUUUGGAAGAAUUGUCAGUGUAUUUACUUCAGAUGAAGCUUUGACCCUUUCUCUCUUUUUUCAAAAAAUGUUUUCUGGAAGAAAUGUCAAAAAAUCCUAGUAGGGGAGGACUAUGAAGACAGACCCUGGCUAGUAGGUGAAGGAAGUACUUAGGCCUCCUAACCCAUUGUAACUGCCAGCCCAUCAUGGUUGAGGAGACAUUGAUGUUGCUAACAGACAGCAGAGGUGGAAAGUUGCUUAUGACACCUGUUAUUCCUAUGCAUGUAGUGUUCUACUGUUCUUUAUCUUUUUUUUUUUUUUUUUUUUUAAGUAUUUGUCUGUGAUGGCAUGAGAAAGGACUAUGGGAUGUGGGAAGAUGAAAUAGUUACCAGGUUUGAGCAUAAAUGGGAUGACUUCUGUUCUAUUAAACUAAUAAAUGCUGUGUAUGAUGUUCAUGAUUGGGUUAUGUGGCUCACUUUCUAGACAGAUGCAAAUAACCAGAAAUAAGAGCUAAAUGCUGUGCAGAAUUGGGGCACUUCUGGGUAUCCCUGAACUCAGUGCUUAUGGUACUAUCUUAAUGAACUGUGGAAGUCAGAAUAAUCAAAUCUUUAAGCUGUGUCCAAUUUCUCUUAAGAGAGAUAGCCUCAGGCAAAAUGCCUCAGGUUUCAGGAGGUAGCAGCUAAGCAUGUAAGGGAGGAUCAUUAUUAUCAGCGAAAGGAGAGGUGACACUGAGCCUGUCACUUGCCUUCCCAAGCAACCUGGGGCUGUGUCAAUGUGAGGGAGGGGAAAUGAGCUUAUUACCUUUGAGAAGCUAGCCAAAAACUUUCUUUUUUUUUUCUUUUUCUGCCUAACAUAUCCUAAAAUGGAGCCAAUGAUGAACUGAGGAAAAAAGCAGAAUUUGGGAAGAAAAGCUCAUAUUAACUGGAUAAUUGAAUUAAUUUUUCCUUUGGGACUUGAGUGUGUGUUUAUGUGCAUGCAUGCAUGCGUAUGUAAUGUUUGGUCAAAAAUAUGUGCCCCAAACCAUAAAACAGACUCUUAACUAUAGAGAACAAACUGAAAGUUGCUGGAAGGGAGGCAGUGCUGGACAUUAAGGAGGGCACUUGUGAUGAGCACUGGGUAUUAUAUGUAAGUGAUGAAUUACUAAUUUCUACUCCAGAAACUAAUAUUACAUUAUAUAUUAACUAAUUUUAAUUUAAAUAAAAACUUGAAAUAAAAAAAAAUGUGCCCAAAACGGU
rnacentral:lncRNA from 1 species